rnacentral:rRNA from 1 species
CGACAAUUGCGGGUGCUAUACAUGCGUCGAGCGGACAGAAGGGAGCUUGCUCCCGGAUGUUAGCGGCGGACGGGUGAGUAACACGUGGGUAACCUGCCUGUAAGACUGGGAUAACUCCGGGAAACCGGAGCUAAUACCGGAUAGUUCCUUGAACCGCAUGGUUCAAGGAUGAAAGACGGUUUCGGCUGUCACUUACAGAUGGACCCGCGGCGCAUUAGCUAGUUGGUGGGGUAAUGGCUCACCAAGGCGACGAGCGUAGCCGACCUGAGAGGGUGAUCGGCCACACUGGGACUGAGACACGGCCCAGACUCCUACGGGAGGCAGCAGUAGGGAAUCUUCCGCAAUGGACGAAAGUCUGACGGAGCAACGCCGCGUGAGUGAUGAAGGUUUUCGGAUCGUAAAGCUCUGUUGUUAGGGAAGAACAAGUGCGAGAGUAACUGCUCGCACCUUGACGGUACCUAACCAGAAAGCCACGGCUAACUACGUGCCAGCAGCCGCGGUAAUACGUAGGUGGCAAGCGUUGUCCGGAAUUAUUGGGCGUAAAGGGCUCGCAGGCGGUUUCUUAAGUCUGAUGUGAAAGCCCCCGGCUCAACCGGGGAGGGUCAUUGGAAACUGGGAAACUUGAGUGCAGAAGAGGAGAGUGGAAUUCCACGUGUAGCGGUGAAAUGCGUAGAGAUGUGGAGGAACACCAGUGGCGAAGGCGACUCUCUGGUCUGUAACUGACGCUGAGGAGCGAAAGCGUGGGGAGCGAACAGGAUUAGAUACCCUGGUAGUCCACGCCGUAAACGAUGAGUGCUAAGUGUUAGGGGGUUUCCGCCCCUUAGUGCUGCAGCUAACGCAUUAAGCACUCCGCCUGGGGAGUACGGUCGCAAGACUGAAACUCAAAGGAAUUGACGGGGGCCCGCACAAGCGGUGGAGCAUGUGGUUUAAUUCGAA